rnacentral:rRNA from 1 species
AUUGAACGCUAGCGGGAUGCCUUACACAUGCAAGUCGAACGGAGUGGCGAACGGGUGAGUAAUGUAUCGGAACGUGCCCAGUAGCGGGGGAUAACUACGCGAAAGCGUAGCUAAUACCGCAUACUAUUGGCGCGGCCGAUAUCGGAUUAGCUAGUAGGUGGGGUAACGGCUCACCAAGGCGACGAUCCGUAGCUGGUUUUAGAGGACGAGCAGCCACACUGGAACUUAGAAACGGGCCAGACUCCUACGGGAGGCAGCAGUGGGGAAUUGUGGACAAUGGGGGAAAACCUGAUACAGCCAUACCGCGUGUGCGAUUAAGGCCUUCGGGUUGUAAAGCACUUUUAGCAGGAAAGCGGUACCUGCAGAAUAAGCACCGGAUAACUACGUGCCAGCAGCCGCGGUAAUAC